AGUGAACGCUGGCGGUAGGCCUAACACAUGCAAGUCGAACGGCAGCACAGUAAGAGCUUGCUCUUACGGGUGGCGAGUGGCGGACGGGUGAGGAAUACAUCGGAAUCUACUUUUUCGUGGGGGAUAACGUCGGGAAACUUACGCUAAUACCGCAUACGACCUACGGGUGAAAGCAGGGGAUCUUCGGACCUUGCGCGAUUGAAUGAGCCGAUGUCGGAUUAGCUAGUUGGCGGGGUAAAGGCCCACCAAGGCGACGAUCCGUAGCUGGUCUGAGAGGAUGAUCAGCCACACUGGAACUGAGACACGGUCCAGACUCCUACGGGAGGCAGCAGUGGGGAAUAUUGGACAAUGGGCACAAGCCUGAUCCAGCCAUACCGCGUGGGUGAAGAAGGCCUUCGGGUUGUAAAGCCCUUUUGUUGGGAAAGAAAAGCAGCAGGUUAAUACCCCGCUGUGCUGACGGUACCCAAAGAAUAAGCACCGGCUAACUUCGUG
rnacentral:rRNA from 1 species